rnacentral:rRNA from 1 species
AGUGAACGCUGGCGGUAGGCCUAACACAUGCAAGUCGAACGGCAGCACAGUAAGAGCUUGCUCUUACGGGUGGCGAGUGGCGGACGGGUGAGGAAUACAUCGGAAUCUACUUUUUCGUGGGGGAUAACGUAGGGAAACUUACGCUAAUACCGCAUACGACCUACGGGUGAAAGCAGGGGAUCUUCGGAUCCUGCGCGAUUGAAUAAGCCGAUGUCGGAUUAGCUAGUUGGCGGGGUAAAGGCCCACCAAGGCGACGAUCCGUAGCUGGUCUGAGAGGAUGAUCAGCCACACUGGAACUGAGACACGGUCCAGAGUCCUACGGGAGGCAGCAGUCGGGAAUAUUGGACAAUGGGCGCAAGCCUGAUCCAGCCAUACCGCGUGGGUGAAGAAGGCCUUCGGGUUGUAAAGCCCUUUUGUUGGGAAAGAAAAGCAGCAGGUUAAUACCCCGCUGUUCUGACGGUACCCAAAGAAUAAGCACCGGCUAACUUCGUG